rnacentral:rRNA from 1 species
GACGAACGCUGGCGGCGUGCCUAAUACAUGCAAGUAGAACGCUGAAGGAGGAGCUUGCUUCUCUGGAUGAGUUGCGAACGGGUGAGUAACGCGUAGGUAACCUGCCUGGUAGCGGGGGAUAACUAUUGGAAACGAUAGCUAAUACCGCAUAAGAGUAGAUGUCGCAUGACAUUUGCUUAAAAGGUGCAAUUGCAUCACUACCAGAUGGACCUGCGUUGUAUUAGCUAGUUGGUGAGGUAACGGCUCACCAAGGCAACGAUACAUAGCCGACCUGAGAGGGUGAUCGGCCACCCUGGGACUGAGACACGGCCCACACCCCUUCGGGAGGCAGCAGUAGGGCAUCUUCGGCAAUGGACGGAAGUCUGACCGAGCAACGCCGCGUGAGUGCAGAAGGUUUUCGGAUCGUAAAGCUCUGUUGUCAGAGAAGAACGAGUGUGAGAGUGGAAAGUUCACACUGUGACGGUAGCUGACCAGAAAGGGACGGCUAACUACGUG